rnacentral:rRNA from 1 species
GAAUUUGAUCAUGGCUCAGAUUGAACGCUGGCGGCAUGCCUUACACAUGCAAGUCGAACGGCAGCACGGGAGCUUGCUCCUGGUGGCGAGUGGCGAACGGGUGAGUAAUGCAUCGGAACGUAUCCUGGAGUGGGGGAUAACGUAGCGAAAGUUACGCUAAUACCGCAUAUUCUGUGAGCAGGAAAGCGGGGGACCUUCGGGCCUCGCGCUCUUGGAGCGGCCGAUGUCGGAUUAGCUAGUUGGUGAGGUAAAGGCUCACCAAGGCGACGAUCCGUAGCAGGUCUGAGAGGAUGAUCUGCCACACUGGAACUGAGACACGGUCCAGACUCCUACGGGAGGCAGCAGUGGGGAAUUUUGGACAAUGGGGGCAACCCUGAUCCAGCCAUGCCGCGUGAGUGAAGAAGGCCUCGG